rnacentral:rRNA from 1 species
GAUGAACGCUGGCGGCGUGCCUAAUACAUGCAAGUCGAGCGAACGGACGAGAAGCUUGCUUCUCUGAUGUUAGCGGCGGACGGGUGAGUAACACGUGGAUAACCUACCUAUAAGACUGGGAUAACUUCGGGAAACCGUAGCUAAUACCGGAUAAUAUUUUGAACCGCAUGGUUCUAAAGUGAAAGACGGUCUUGCUGUCACUUAUAGAUGGAUCCGCGCUGCAUUAGCUAGUUGGUAAGGUAACGGCUUACCAAGGCAACGAUGCAUAGCCGACCUGAGAGGGUGAUCGGCCACACUGGAACUGAGACACGGUCCAGACUCCUACGGGAGGCAGCAGUAGGGAAUCUUCCGCAAUGGGCGAAAGCCUGACGGAGCAACGCCGCGUGAGUGAUGAAGGUCUUCGGAUCGUAAAACUCUGUUAUUAGGGAAGAACAUAUGUGUAAGUAACUGUGCACAUCUUGACGGUACCUAAUCAGAAAGCCACGGCUAACUACGUG